AAGUCGUAACAAGGUUUCCGUAGGUGAACCUGCGGAAGGAUCAUUAACACGUAUCCAACGUUAAACAACCCUGUGAACUUUAAGUCCCCUCUUGCAGCCCAUGAGGAACAGCAAUCCCGGUAAAUCAUUGCCAAACAGUUUUGAUUCGGGACCUCUGUCCAUGGAAGCAGUGGCAUGGCUCAGUUAGUGAAUGACAGUGUCACUGACUGUGUAAGGAUAACGCCUCACGGUUGCUAGAGGUCGAUCACCGACCGGCAGACAUGUGGUAACGCGCUAGGUAAAAAAAACCGAACAACUGUUAACAAUGGAUAUCUUGGUUCUC
rnacentral:misc_RNA from 1 species